rnacentral:rRNA from 1 species
UACGUAGGGUGCGAGCGUUGUCCGGAAUUACUGGGCGUAAAGAGCUCGUAGGUGGUUUGUCGCGUUGUUCGUGAAAACCGGGGGCUUAACCCUCGGCGUGCGGGCGAUACGGGCAGACUUGAGUACUGCAGGGGAGACCGGAAUUCCUGGUGUAGCGGUGGAAUGCGCAGAUAUCAGGAGGAACACCGGUGGCGAAGGCGGGUCUCUGGGCAGUAACUGACGCUGAGGAGCGAAAGCGUGGGGAGCGAACAGG